rnacentral:rRNA from 1 species
GGUGAACGCUGGCGGCGUGCCUAAUACAUGCAAGUCGAGCGAACAGAUGAGGAGCUUGCUCCUCUGACGUUAGCGGCGGACGGGUGAGUAACACGUGGAUAACCUACCUAUAAGACUGGGAUAACUUCGGGAAACCGGAGCUAAUACCGGAUAAUAUAUUGAACCGCAUGGUUCAAUAGUGAAAGACGGUUUUGCUGUCACUUAUAGAUGGAUCCGCGCCGCAUUAGCUAGUUGGUAAGGUAACGGCUUACCAAGGCAACGAUGCGUAGCCGACCUGAGAGGGUGAUCGGCCACACUGGAACUGAGACACGGUCCAGACUCCUACGGGAGGCAGCAGUAGGGAAUCUUCCGCAAUGGGCGAAAGCCUGACGGAGCAACGCCGCGUGAGUGAUGAAUGUCUUCGGAUCGUAAGACUCUGUUAUUAGGGAAGAACAAAUGUGUAAGUAAAUAUGCACGUCUUGACGGUACCUAAUCAGAAAGGCACGGCUAACUACGUG